rnacentral:rRNA from 1 species
AGGACGAACGCUGGCGGCGUGCUUAACACAUGCAAGUCGAGCGGAAAGGCCCUUCGGGGUACUCGAGCGGCGAACGGGUGAGUAACACGUGAGUAAUCUGCCCCUAGCUCUGGGAUAGCUCCGGGAAACCGGGAUUAAUACCAGAUACGACCACUUUAGACAUCUGUUGUGGUGGAAAGAAUUUUGGCUAGGGAUGAGCUCGCGGCCUAUCAGCUUGUUGGUGAGGUAACGGCUCACCAAGGCGACGACGGGUAGCCGGCCUGAGAGGGCGACCGGCCACACUGGGACUGAGACACGGCCCCAGACUCCUACGGGAGGCAGCAGUGGGGAAUAUUGCGCAAUGGGCGAAAGCCUGACGCAGCGACGCCGCGUGGGGGAUGAAGGCCUUCGGGUUGUAAACCCCUUUCAGCAGGGACGAAGCGAAAGUGACGGUACCUGCAGAAGAAGCGCCGGCUAACUACGUGCCAGCAGCCGC